rnacentral:lncRNA from 1 species
UGGUGUCCUCUCCAGAAGCGUUUUUGAACCCCAACCUUAAAGAACUUUGCAUUUCAGAUUGUGAGAAUAUGAGGUGGCCUCCAUCUGGGUGGGGCCUCGACACACUCACCUCUCUUGGUGAGCUAUUUAUUCAAGGCCCAUUCCGAGAUCUGCUUUCUUUUUCUAGCUCUCACCUUCUUCUUCCUACAUCUCUCACCACUCUCCGGUUGGGAAAUCUCCGCAAUUUGAAAUCCAUAGCCUCCACGAGUCUACAAAGCCUCAUCUCUCUUAAAAGCCUUGAAUUCCACAUUUGCCCUAAGCUCCGGUCCUUUGUGCCAAAUGAAGGGCUGCCAGCAACACUUACAAGACUUGUAAUCAGGGAAUGUCCCUUUCUAAAAGAGAGGUGCCUCAAGGACAAAGGAAAAGAUUGGCCUAAGAUUGCCCACAUCCCCUACGUGCAAAUAGAUGGCAUUGUACAACAAUUAAAAAACAAAUAACAACUUCAAUCAGGUACUGCCAAUUCUCUAUUAUCUUCCAUCAAAAGUUUGACAUUCUAAUUGCUACCGUCUCUAUAAUAUUUGAGCCUCCCUUUUGUUCUGUAAUCAGGGGUUUGCCAUGGUCAACAAUAAGCUACAAUGUUUUGUGCUCAAAACCUCGAUUCUCAUGAAUGUGUACCCUUAGCUUUUUCCUUGCUUUUCGGAUGACAGGCCUUCCUACCGCAGUUUAAUAACUGGGUAUUUGGCACUGCCCUCUUCCAAAAUAGAGGUGCGUAUUAAUGCAUUGAAUUGUAAGUUCUGAUAGAACACAAUUUCACGAUUUUCAACUCAACAUAUUGCUUUCAUUUUCUAAUAAUAUUGAUGGAAUUUAUGUUGCACAUAUAGGAUUGCAGGAAAAGGGAUUGAUGUAGAGAUGAAAGUAAAAUUCCCUGCCAUUUGUAUCUGCAAGGGUAGAUACAAAAUAUCCUACACAUGAAAGGAGAUGUAAUAGAUGCACCAUUCUUUUUUAAUUUUCAGGUUUACAUGCGAUUCCAGUUUCAUGUGUAAAUUUUCUGUUAAUCAGGUCCAAAGGAAGUUUUAAGGCCCUAUCAAAUUUGGCACCAACUUCACUUCCUACUAAGGGAUGGGCAGCUUGGUCAACUUGUAGAACUAACCCACAACAAUGGGCCCUGAAGCUGGUACUCCAUUUUGCUUAAAGCCAGUAUACUAUUUCAAUCACCAUUACUUAAUAAAAGGUAUUCAUGAUUUUGUUUUAUUUCUGUUUCAUUCCAAUCUAAAUUUGAAUCUCAUUCUAUUAAUGAAGCCUUUUUAUUUGAUUUUGUUUUGUACUUUAAUCACACAGGAAUGCUCCCUUAUUCAAUGCCUAGGUUUUCUAGGAUUCUGGCAUUUGCUUGGAAAUAUGUAUUGCAAAAAUGGGAGAGGUAUAACUUUCUCAAACUUUGAAACUGAACAUUGCAUUUCAUCGGGUUGUGUUUAACUUUCUAUCUUUUUUCUUUCUGCUUAUGCCACUUCAACUUUUUUGACUAAUUGCAUGACAUUGUAAUUGUUGUUGGCCUAGAUAGUACCCUUUCUACUGGCAAUUGGUAUGUCAAGUGGUUCAGGAUGCACAGAAAGGGAAUAUAUCCCAGGUUGUUCUUUUUCUCAUUAUCUCUCCUCAUUUUUAUUGAUUUCAAAAAUGUGUUCUUUCAAAUUUAUAUUAGCAUAAUAUAAAUUGAAGAUAAAAUCCUCUAAUGACAGGUGGUAGUUAGGUCUUUGUAAGUUAGUUGUUGAAAGUAAAGAAGAGAGGGCAAUUAUUGGUUCAAUCAACAAUUAGUACCUCCCUUGCUAUGUGCUUUGGUCUAGGUGCAAGAAAUGAGAUUGAACAAUGCCCUCCCUCUGCUUCCUGCCUUUUCUUUUCUUUGUUUCUUUUAUUUUUUAUUCUUAUUUCUUUCAUUUUUUUUUCUCUUUAUAUUGAACCUCAUGACUCUCAAGAAAUGGCUCUCAAAGACUCCUGGCAAGAUAUUGGUGAAUUGUAAGAAUAUUUGUAAUGGUAAUGUUAAGAUUGCAAAAUUUAAAAAUAAUUAGAUGAAUUUAUUGAAGAGUGGUUUGAUAAAGAGGUGAAAUAACUUAUCCAAAGGAAGGAAAUUACCUUACGUUGAGAGGGAAGAGUGGAUCCUUUCCACACGAUGAGGAGCUUAAAAAGAGGGAAGAGUUAAAGAAAGUAAAAUGAUAACCCUUGGAUCCUCUUACAAAGAGUCAAGUAUGGACUCCUGCUUUGGCAAGAGCAAAAUUUGCUAAGGGAUGGUCUAAGUUAUGAAUAGCAUAAUCUAUGAAGUAUGGAUUUCUGCUUUGCCAACAUGCCACCUGGUGUGACACCAAGAAUAAUUUCUUGUCUUAAUGAAACAUGUAGAAAAACUUUGGACACACUUGUAAUUUCCAUAUUGCAGAUUCAUUUUUUGAAAAUUGCCAUCUGGAUAUCUAUCAUCUCUAUGCCACAAUAAGAAAAGUGUUCUCCUAAGGUCCUAGUCUAACUUUCAAGGCCAUAGACCACCACAAGCCAAAAUUUCUUGAAUAACAGGACAUUUGUAUACUUUAGGACUUGAUAACAAUGAGAAGAAUUUUAGUGGAGGUAGAAUGAAGUAGGUCUGCCCAUGUAACAUCUCCAACAUUCCUUUGACUCUAAAGCCUUUUUUACUCUCUUCCUACUUUUCCAUUCCUUGUCAUGUGUUUGGCUACACCUUCAUGUUCUUUGUCUAUAUACAUGGAAAACAGUUAUAUUCUUAGGGCUCUUCAUUUAGUACUUCAGUAUAUAUAUUCAACACACACACACACACACACACAUAUAUUAAUUAUAAUCAGAAUUCAUUGCUUGAAUAUUAAUCUAUAAAGAAUCCAUAAAACUUGAUUUUUGCUUCUCUUUGCAUUCCAUACUUAUGCAAUCUUUAAUUGUUGUUGCAUUAGAGUUAGUCUUCAGGUGUUGAAGAUGUGGAUGAGGUUCAUACAACAGUUUUUGCCUUCCAAAAGGUGAGCUACCGACCACCCUUAAGUGGUUGUUAAUUGAAGAUUGUCAUAAAAUGGGGAUGUUCAUCCAAGGGAAUUAAGCACCAUGCUUUAAUGGACAACAAUAACACUUGUUGUCUUGAAUGAAUAGAGGUAUGAGGAUGUUCAUCUCUAAAGUCCAUUCCAUGGAUCUCCAAAGCCCCAUCUCUCUUAAAAUCCUUGAACUCUACAACUGCCUAAACUCUCGUCCUUUAUGCCAAAGGAAGGGCUGCCACUAACACUUGUAAGAGUUGUAAUGGGGGCAUGUCCUAUUCUAAAACAAAGGUGCCUCAAGAGCAAAGGAAAAUAUUGGCCCAAGAUUGCCCACAUCCCCCACAUGGGAACAUAUGACAUUGUAUCACAAUAACAAGUUCAACCAAGCACCCCAAUUUUUUGUAAUCUUGCACCAAAGAUUCUACUCACUAAUUAUUAUUUUGUUUAAAUAUGGUCUAGUCUUUUCUUGUCCUUUUGUACCUCAAGGAUUCUAUUAUUUCUAAAAGAAGCUCCAAGGGUUUCAUGAAAUUGCCAACAACCCACCCUGAGAUAGAUAGCAUUGUACAACAGUAAAAAGUUCAAUAAGGUAUCUCAAUUCAUAACAGUGAAAUUUCAACUUCUAUGUUUCAUGUGAUUGCAAUUCCAACUUCAAUUUUGCUUUUUAAUUUGCAUACAAAUUGAUUCGUGCCCAGUCGGUGUAUCAGCUGAUUCAUGUCCAACUUUUGCUUCUUGAUUGAGGGAGUAAUCAACAAAAUUUAUAACCUAUUACACCAUGUACUAGGGUAGCAAAGACAAAGCUACUAUAGCAUAGUGGCUCUAGGAUCGUUCAUUGGGAUGAGUUUUCACUUCACAAAUGAUAUUAAUUCAAAGCUGAAUUGGUGCCUUUUCAUUUCAAGGUUAGCUUUAAAAGAAAACAUAAAGAUGUUUGAAUGAAAAAGGUUUGGUUUUAAACUAACAAAAAAUAGUAACCGAUUUUACUUACAAAGAAAAGUGCUUCUUGGAGUUUAGAUCACUAGGAUCAAAUUCCUUGACAAAAAGGGAAGUUCCAGUCACUUGUUUAUUUUCCUCGUAUUAGAGAUUUAACAUAUAGUUAUUUCCCGAACCGGUGUGGUAUAGAUGCUUCCCUUUAAUGGGUUCAAACACUAAAUCCCUCUCACUGAUGCACUUUGCAAUGGCUCAUACUUCUCACCUAGCACUUGCCAUUCAAGGUGAUCUUUAACCUUGGAUUAUCUGUCAAAAACUCGCAAGAGAUAACUAAUGGAUGUCUCCGUGGAGUCCAAAAGCUUAUCAAGUGUUAGCUAUUCUAGAAAAUCCUACCUUCAAAUCACCUCCCAAAGGCUCGCAAGAGAUAAACUAGUGCAUCUCAAUGGAUGAAGAUCACUUGCCUUAUCAAGUGUUGGCCCAGGUGAUUUAAUGGCGUUUUAAGUUAACUAAAAAGAUAAAAACCAUUAAUGGGUCACACUUUCUCUUCAUUAAAAACUAAAACAACAAAACUUCCAAUUUAUGGAUGUGGAAACUUACCCAGCUUUCCUCACUCCAAGAGACGAAGAGUCUAACCUCUCAUCCUCUGAGGAAAAAUCCUCAGAGUUUGAUUGGCUAGAAAGAAAAAGAAUGAGAAAACAAAAGCAGAGCAAGUGCUUUGUAUUUUACUUCCUUACAAAACUGGACAAAGGAUAGAUCGAUAUAUUUUCGAUAUCUUGUGUAAAGGAAAUUACAAACUAUAUAUAAGGGUUUAUUUACCCUUUUUCCAAAUUUAAUAACUAAGGAAUCCUAUCAUUGGUGGGUUACAAGGAGACUUUGGGAAUUUAGACAUAAAAUAUCUAAAGCAAAAUAUCCCAAAGUGUCGGUCGCAAAUAUCUAGAAGCUUCAGGAGAACACUGCAGCACUGUACAAAAUUGUCUGUGAAACUCUCCGAGUAGGCGCUAUUAGAGGAUCCGGAUACGUCCAUCCGGAGAAGUUGAAACGCUCUUCUUUUCUAUCCGGCGUCAGAAUUCCAGACGUGAACAUCCGGGGUGGAAGUGCGCGGCAGUCGAGGUGCAAAAUGGCGACGCACAUUCGGGUGCAAAUGGCGGCAGCCGGGUGCAAAAUGGCGGCAACCUGGUGUAAUUCCUGAUUCGUCCCUAGCAGUGGCAGUGGCAAUGGCACCAUUUGAUUCGAGGUUCGAUCCCCGGCAACGGCGCCAUUUGAUUCGUGCCUAAUUGGUGUCUCAGCUGAUUCGUGUCCAGCUGGUGCUCCUUGAUUGAGGGAUUAAUCAACAAAAUUUAUAACCUAUUACACCAUAUACUAGGGUAGCAAAGACAAAGCUACUAUAGCAUAGUGGCUCUAGGAUCGUUCACUGGGAUGGGUUUUCACUUUGCAAAUGAUAUUAAUUCAAAGUUGAAUUGGUGGCUUUUCAUUUCAAGGUUAGCUUUAAAAGAAAACAUAAAGAUGUUUGAAUGAAAAAGGUUCGGUUUUAAACUAACCAAAAAUAGUAACUGAAUUUACUUACAAAGAAAAGUGUUUCUUGGAGUUCAGAUCACUAGGCUCAGAUUCCUCAUACAAAAAGGAGAGUUCCGGUCACUUGUUUCUUUUCCUCGCAUUAGAAAAUUAACAUAUAGUUCCUUCUCCAACCGGUGUUGUACAGAUGCUUCCCAUUAAUGGGUUCAAACACUAAAUCCCUCUCACUGAUGCACUUUGCAAUGGUUCAUGCCUCUCACCUAGCACUUGCCAUUCAAGGUGAUCUUUAACCUUGGAUUACCCGUCAAAAGCUCGCAAGAGAUAACUAAUGGAUGUCUCCUUGGAGUCCAAAAGCUUACCAAGUGUUGGCUAUUCUAGAAAAUCCUACCUUCAAGUCACCUCCCAGAGGCUCGCAAGGGGUAAACUAGUGCAUCUCUAUGGUUGGAGAUNNNNNNNNNNNNNNNNNNNNNNNNNNNNNNNNNNNNNNNNNNNNNNNNNNNNNNNNNNNNNNNNNNNNNNNNNNNNNNNNNNNNNNNNNNNNNNNNNNNNAGAGCAAGUGCUCUGUUCGUUGAUUCUAUAUAUUAGAUUACAUCUAUAUUUUACAUACUUCCCCCCCAGCAUCUCCUGAGAGUGUUUACAAGAGAGUUUAUAUAGGAAGGUAAUUUACCUUUCCUUGGAUACUUCCUAGCUAAGGAAUUACAUGAGUGGUUGAAUACAAGGAGAAAAUGGAAAUUUAGACACAAAAAUCUGAAGAAAAAUAUCUAAAAGAGUCGGUGCAAAAAUAUCGGGAAGCUCCAGGAACAUUUCGCAGGUGAAAAAUGGUGUUUGCGAGAUUUCGCAGACACUCAAGAGGGCUGCGAAAUAUUUUAGCAUCAACAAGUUAAACUCGUAGGGCUGCUAAGUUGGCUUCCACCUUGUGGUGUUUGGCUUCCAUCGCGGCGUGAAACUUCAGGAGGAAAUCCACAACACUGUACAAAAAGGCUGCGAAAUUCUCGCAACAAAAGGCUGAUUUCGCAACACUUUAGAGUGAUUGACUUGCAGUGGCUGUAACUUCUUCGUUUCAGCUCCAAAUCGUACACGGUUUGAAGCGUUGGAUUCUUGACUUCCUGAGCUUUGAAAUGGUAUAUAGCAUGUAGAAAAUGAACUUCGGGAAGUGCUCCAAAAGUGCGAAAGAAGACUGCAGCUGCUGUCCUCUGUUUUCUUCACUCUGUUUUUCCUCUCUCCUUGCUUCUCUCCUUGCAUACUUUGAACGACUUUGGCAAAGGGUUAUGGAGCUCCAAAGCUUGGUUCUUCAUGAAUUUGAGCUUCCAAAAGCUUUGCCAUAACUUGUCCAAGUAGCUCCUCCAUCAUUUGGCAUGCUUGAAUUGAUUCAUAAGCUGAUAAAAACAUGUAAACUUGCCACAAAAUGGUUAAAACCAAUUACUAAGGACCUUAAUGAAUUAAUUGGGUUAAAUGAAUAUGAUUACUACUCAAAGGUGCUUAAAACCUUUAUAAUUAGGUCUAAAAAAUAGCACUUUUUGGUAGUAAUCAAUUCCUACCCGGAUAUGUUGUUCGGACGCCCUCCGAUGGUGUAUCCGGACGCCCUGUCCGGGUAUAAUCCUUGCAUGGAUUCCAAAGAACUCUCCUCCAUAUCAAAUUUCUUUGGUGAUCAAAAAGCUAUCAAAACACCAAAACUUAACACAAUUUGAUUAGAAUUGAUUGCAAGGGUCCUUAAUAUGUUAAUUGGGUUAAAAGGUGAUAACUACUACUCAAAAGUGUUUAAAAAAGUUAAUUACAAGCUAUGAAAUAUUACUUUUUGAGUAGUAAUCACAAAUGCUUUUUUUUUUUUUUGGCAGCAUUUAGUAAUUGGUGGUGCCACCUUAAAUUUUUGUCUUUCUGUUGCUCAAAUGCAUCAUUCUACAUUAUUGGAAUUGUAGUUUUCUAAUUCGUCAACUAAUCAUUUAACGUUAAACUAAAAAUGUGUAAAUCUCACCAUUUUUUUUUCUUCUCAAUUUAGCAAUGCAAAUAUGGAUAUACAAGUAUAUUUUGCAUUAAUAUUUUUUUUUGGUUAAAUACUCAAAAUGAAAUGCUUUUGAUUUUAUUUAUCAGGCUUUUAUGUUAACAACAUGAUAAUUCCUUUUCAUUAUUAUGCUACAAGAAAGGAAUAUUGAAUUUCAUAUUGGAGACACCAUGUCUGAAGUGAAUUUGGUGUUAGCUCUUCAUUCUAUAUCAUGGUCAUAGUGAAAAUAAGAUGAAAGAGUACUUAGGAAAAGCAUGCUAUGCUAUUUUCAUUUGUUUAUCUUACAUUCCCCAUUUUGAUUUUAAUAAUACUUAAUUUUUGAAAAUCCAUCAUUUUAACCUCUGAUACAUUCUUCGACUACUUGCUAGAGAAUGGCUCAUGCACCAGGCUUGUUCUCUCAUGCAGCCCAAUUUCCUAAACCCGUAGUAAAUGUGAAAGCCUUUCAAUCACGGUAACCCAAAAAGGCAAUAGAAAAGGCUGCAUGAUCAUCUCAUAUCUCUUGUAGAGUUGACACUCAUCAUGCUCAAAAAUCUUUUCCUCUGAAGGGACUGUCAUUUUGUGGUUAGUGAUUCUGAGGAGAAUACUUUUAUUAUUGACUUAUCUGCUUUUGAAUUCCUCACUGAUUAAAAUUUGAUUAGGAGUUUUGGCUUUUGACUGUAGUUAUAGGCUCUAAACACUAACAUCUCUCUUAAACAAUCACCUAUAUGCAUGGUCCCAUCACUCCAACUUCUCUAGCAUCCAAAAACUUUGGAAUCGGGAAUGUGCCCUUAGCUUUGUCCUCAUUGACCAAAGAAAGCCAUUCUUGCCGCACUUUAAUUUGUAAGUUCUAAUAGAAAGCAAUUUUCACUAUUCUCAACUCAAAAGAUUGCCUUUACCUUUUGAUAAUGAUGGAAUUUAUGUUGUACAUGUAGGAUGACAUGCAAAUGAAAGCAAAAUUUCUUAGCUCUGGUGCAGCUCAUUGGUAUCUGCAUGAGUAAAUAUCCUAAUCAUGAAAUUUUGUGUUUAAUGAAAGCAAAAUUGUUGCCUUUAGUGGACCAUUCUUUUUUUACUUUUGGUACAUGUGAUUCCAAUUUCUAGUCUAACAUUUUUGGUUAAUCACCUCUUGCACUAUUCUCAAAAGGUUUUGAGGUCAUGCAUUACAUAUAAAGACUCAUCAGUUAAAAAAAAAACACAAAACUAAUUUUAAUCCUCUUCUUUUUGUUCUGUUUUUGAGGUGAUGUGAGUUUUUCCUCCUUUAGUUUGGCAUGGCAAGUGGUGUUAAUAGGAGUCUGAGGGCCUUGGUUUUCAAAUCCAGGGUGAGCCUUGGUUUUCUGCUUUCCAUGUUUCAAAUUAAGCUUUUAAUCUGUUAUCUCGGUCUUUUAGUUAUGCUAGUGCUUAUUUUUUUUAUGAUCUAAAUUGAGCCUUCACUUCUACCAUGUCUCAAUUGGUGCUUGCAUUUCUAAGUGUCAUGUGUCAUUAUUUUGGAGGUUAUUCUAAUUUCAGACUAUGACUAGAUAAAAUCUCAAUGCAAUCCUAAUUACACGUUUUCGUUCUAGAAUCAUUUGAACUUAGUAAUAAUUCAAACUAUGUUUUGAAUUUCAGGAUAUGAGACUUCUAUCAUCUGAAAAAGAAUGUAGCUAGAACCCAAGUGAAUCCCACCAUUUGAAAACUUAUGCAUCAAUGGUUGCUGCUCUUGCCCACCCAGAUUUGGAUUUGAGAGAUGGAAAUACAAUGCAUCAAUGGUUUAGUUGGGAAAACAGUUUUCAUACAUGGAGAGAGAGCAUAAGAGGAUUCUUGCAAGUAGCCAAGCGUUUCCUUACGUACAAUUUUAUUAAUUGCCUUAAAUGCAUUGUACCUUAUGGAGAGAGAGCAUUUGCCUAUCGCCAAAAUUUUGAAAAAAUCACCGGCAUUUUGAAAAAAUCGAUGAUUUUUUAACAAUCUUCCUCUGUUGCUUCGUGUGUCACUCUAUGCUCGAUUUUUUCAUCAAAUUUUCACCUCCAAACCGAUAUAUCAUCGAUAUUACCGAAUUUUUUUUGAAAUUCUCAUCGAUUGAUAAUUGGUGCCUAAUAUUAUGUCGGGCACCAUUGAUAUUUGAUAUAUCAACGAUAUUUUGCUGAAAAAUAUGAAAUUUUAAUCUUUGCCUAUAGGCAAGUGUUUCCUCCAUCCCACUCAACUAGAUAUCAAAACAAUCAAAACAUAUUUACUAGGCAAAACCUCAAUAUAUAUAUAUAAAAUAAAAAAACAAAAAAAAAAAACUAGAAAGCAUUGGCCUUAAGUUAGUGAUUAUGCCUAAAAUAUUAAUGCCAAAUUAUCUUCACCAAUAAAUACAAUAUUCUUACUACAUUUUUUCAAACGAUUCUCCAUGGCCAAAAUCUAAAUAAAUAAAAUAAGAAUAAUAUCUUAUAUGUGCCUUUUAUAUGUAGUAUAUUGGUUUUGCGCAUGCAUGUAGUAUAAUUAUUUUGUAAAUAAAAUAAUUUUUGAAAGAAGAAAUAAUAAUAAAAAUAAUGAUAAAGUGAAUAAUUGAAAAAAAAUGAAAAGAUAGACUUUAUCUUCUUUUUGCUUUUGCCCUAUUCAUUUUUUUUCCUUUCUAGCAACACUACUGCAACAUUACCAUUUUUCAAACCAACAAGCAUCCACUAAGCAACACUCUAUUCUCUCUCUCUGUCUCUCUGUCUCUGUCCCUCUCUCUCUCUCUUUUCCAUUGCAAUUGUGGACCAUGCAACACCUAUUUUUUGGCAAUUGUAACACAUUCACGUUUUUUCAACCAUGGAGAACUUUUUACUUUAUUCAAAUAUGAUUAACCUUUUAUUUUAUUUUAUUUUCAAUUAAAACAAUCCAUUUUUUUUUAUUUUUUUUUAAACAUAAAAAUGAUGGAGAAAAGGAUAAAACAUAAAUUUGAAAUCUUUACCAUCAAAAAUUUUCAAACAAAAAAUAAAGUGCAACCUUCAAAGCUUCUAAGAACAAAGUGAAUGAGUUUGAAGAUAGUUUUUUUAUGUUUGUGCUUUUGAUACCAUGGGUAUCCACAUUUGCAGAUGCAUUUUAAAAGAAAUCCAUAACUCUCUACUUGCAUUGAAUCGACUAAUUUUUUUUUAUUUUAAUAGUAGUCAUUUAUUGUCAUGCCUUAUGAUUGUUGUGUAUAUUUAUAUCCUUAUUCUCUUCAAAUAUUGAUUAUAUAUUAUAGCAUUUGAUUACAUGCUUUAGAUAUCCAACAAAAAAUAAUCGUAGAAAUCAUUGAAGUUCUCUCAACUUGAUAUUAGAUAUUGAUUUAGGGUUUAAAUGGGUGUUAUAACUUAUGUCAUACUGUAGACCCCCAUUUUGGGGUGUAUUUUUGCAGAUCAUUUUUGCCAGGUGGAAGGCUCUUGGAAGACCACAUGUUGCCCUAAGAUUGGUCAUUGGGUAGUUGAUUCGUCCCCAAUUGGUGUACUCUUGAUUCAGUCCUUAGACAGGAGUUAUCAACAAAAUUUAUAAACCUAAUUCACCAUAUACUAGGGUAGCAUAGCUAGCAUAGCAUAGUGGUUCUAGGAUCGUCCACAGGGAUGAGUUUUCAUUUCACACAUGAUAUUAGUUUAAAGAAUUGGAUUGGUGCUUUUUCUUUUAUGAGUUAGCUUUAAAAGAAAACAUAAUCUUUGGUUGAAAAAUGUUGGUUUUAAGCUAACCAAAAAAAUAGUAACUGAUACUAAUUAUAAAGAAAAGAUUUCUUGGAGUUUCAGGUCACUAGGCUCAGGUUCCUUAUACAAAAGGGGAUAUUCCAGAUCUUUUCCUUGCAUUGAGGAUUUAACCUACAGUUAUCCUCCCAACCGGUGUGUUACAGUUGCUUCCCAUUAAUGGUUUCAACGCUAAAUCCCUCUCACUAAUGCAUCUUGCAAUGGCUCGUACCUCUUACCUAGCAUUUGCCAUUCAGGGUGAUCCUUAACCUUAAAUUACCCUUCAAAAACUUGCAGGAGAUAACUAAUGGAUGUCUCCAGGGAAUCCAAAAGCUUACCAAGUGUUGGCUAUUCUAGAUAAUCCUACCUUUAAACCACCUCCCAGAGGCUCGCAAGAGAUAACUAAUGGAUCUCUAUGGAUUGAGUCCGAAAAGCUUACCAAGUGUUGGCCCGGGUGAUUAUAAGGGAUUUUAAGUUAACUAAAAAUAUAAAAACCAUUACCGGGUCACAACUUCCUCUUCAUUAAAAAUUGAAACAAGAAAAACUCCCACUUUUGUAUCCGGGUCCCUUACCUAGCUUCCUUCAGUCCAAGAAACAAAAAGUCUAGCCACUCAUCCUCUAAGAAAACAUCCUCAGAGAUUGUUUGGCUAGAAAGAAAAUACAAUCAAAGUGAGUAGGUAAGGUAGAGCAAAGCUCUAUAUAUUUCUUACUAAAAAAUGUACAAGUGAUCCCCAAGAAUGUCUUCCGAGAUUCUGAGAUAGAUAUUACAAAAAGAGAUAUGUUAAGACAUAUAUAGAGAGAUAUUUUUAACCCCUCAAUUAGAUAUCCUAAAUAUCUAAAAAGAUAUUUAGCUGAUUACAAGGAGAGAAUAGAUAAUUACACAAAAUAUCUUGAAGUAAAAAUCUAACUGAGUCGGUGCACAAAUAUCUGAAGAUUACAUGAAGAUUUCGCAAGUUAGAUAUGGAGUUGUGAAAAUUUCGCAAGGUUGAAAAGGAGUUGUGAAAUUUUUGCAAUGUUGAAAAGGAGUUGCGAAAAUUUCUUCUGGCUUGCAAAAAUUUCGCAAAUGGUGAAAAGAGGUUGCGAAAUUCUUCAGUGUUAGAUUUCUUCUCUGAUUCUCUUCCUUGCAUACUUGAUUGAUUUGGAAAAGGCUUCGAAGCUCUCCAAACUUGAAUUUUUCAUGUAAUUUAGCUUCAAUCUUGCUUUGCCAUGGAUUAUACCAAGUUCUCCCUCAUUCUUGGUUUGUUUUAAUGAUAAAAAAGCUAUAAAAAACAUCAAAACUUGCCAAAAACUGAUUAGUAACACUUGUAAGAGUUCUUAAUGUGCCAAUUGAGUUAAAAGGUAAUAAAUACUACUCAAAAGUGUUUAAAAGAGUUUAUAAGAAGCUACAAAAGAGCAAUUUUUGAGUAGUAAUCACUCCCCCCAACCGACAUAUUGCUAGUCUCUUAGCAAUGAAGGAGAGAAAAACAAAAAUAAGACAGUAAAAUAAUUUACAAGUUCAUGUUGAUCACUCCAAAAAAUCAUAAGUAGCAUGAUUGUAAAGCAUAUUCUCACACGGAAUAUUAAAGAAGCAAAACCCAUCAUUCAACAAGAGGAUAUAAAAAAUCUUACCUGAUCAUAAUUCAUAUAGAGUAGGUAUUACACAAAUUUAAGUAAUGAGAGGAUUUUCACUCUCCUAAGCUCAAUCAUUACUCUUCCACAAAAAUCUGUGUUAAGCUUAUUAGUUUCCGAAUAUAGUACUCUGAAAUAAUCUCUUCCCCCAACCUAGUUUUUUCUCAGACUUUAGCAAACUGACCACUUCCAAUAAGCUAAGAACGCAUCUUUUUUAUUUCACAAUUUUUUUUCUUGUAGGCGUGCAAUGCUAAAGGUAUUGUUUUCUAAAGUGUCCAUGUAACGGGGAUCCAUCAAUGACUCCCAACCAAUCAAGGUUUAGGGCAUCAAGCUUUAAGGAUCAUUCGACCACUAACUCCUCGGAUUUUUACCCCGGACUUUUGAAAUUGAAAUUUAAUACCUAAGCACCUACAAUAUGUUAAACUCCACCUAUUCACCCUUGUGACGAGCAUUAAGGUCGGUGACUCCCAACUAAUAAAGGCUUAGGGCACCGGGUUUUAAAGACUUUCGCCAUAUACCCCUCGGACCUUGCUUGGGUUUCAAGGCAAGCGAAACACUUUAUUCUUUUUUUUUCAAAGGCUCAUUGGCCUUUUAUCAGAUGUCUCAACACUAUUAAAAUGAGGUCAAAGGUACCAAGUCUAAAUUUUCCUAAGUUCAAGUGGUGAGAUAGUUUUUCAUCUUAUAAACGGAACCUAAUGUGCAUAAUGUGUGGUACGAUUAAAGUGGAAGAAAUAAGGUUGAAAUCAAUAAGAGUUUCAAUAAUUCAUCAACUUCAAUAAACAUAAUACGACUCUAAUAUUCAAGUAAAAAGGUAAGAACUCAAUUUCUCCCAUUUCAUUUUGAGAAUUUUUCCUUAAUAACCAUGGAGAGUAGAGUAAAAACUUUUAAAAUUAAGCAUUUUUUUUAAAUUAAGCAAAAAGUACUUAAUUAACAAAAUAACUUAGCAUUAUUAACAAUACUUCCUUCUUUUUACUUUCUCCCGAACCAAGAUCAACAUUGCCCUCAAUGUGGCAAGAAUGGUUGUAAAUAAAGGGAGGAAGUGGUACCUCCUGAGUGACAUGGAGUCUGAGUCAUAUAAGAAAAACCACAUGAUUCAAAAAACAAAAGAUUAAUGAGUAAACAAGCCACCCUGGACCUUGAUGGUAGGAACAAUGCAGAUCCAUCCUGAAGCGUAGUGGCACGGGCUGGGAUACAGGUCUAAGAGCCAACUGAGUCAACAAACCACCCUUCAUGAGCUUUUGGAAAACUCGACUCAAAGGGAUACCUAGCUGGGAGAACUGUCAUGUCUGUCUCUAUACAAGAGGAAUAACAGUCUGUGGGGCUCGGGGCCGAGGGUAUAAAGUAGGAGGUCUCUUUGAAACCUGUGCAACAAAAACAAGAUCUAAGGUCUGGUGUAGGUAUGUAGGAGCCAUGGGCCUGAGCAGUCUAUAUUGAACAUAACACUAUGGGUAAUAGUCUCCUGAAGUCUGCCCAAAUGUCUAAUAACACCUGAGAGGUCUCGAUCCUGUUGAACUAAUAUUACCCACAUCUUCUGGUCUCUGUCAUCCUGAGGGCUUCUUCCCUUUUGAGUCAGGAAGGGAAGACUCGGGCCACAAUCCUCUAGCAGUGCCCUCUUCUAUACCAUAUAAAGCCUGUACCAAGGAUCCAAAAUCCAUAUGAGGAAAUCCCAUCAAAUGUCUGGCGAAUCUGGGUUGUAAACUCCUCAAAAUCACACUAAUAUGGUCUCUCUCUGAAGGACGAUCAAUAAUCUGAGUGAUCUUCUCCCUCCAUCGGGAGAUAAACAAAGUCACUGACUUCUCUGGUCCCUAUCUCAAGACCUCUAACUCUCUCCUUGAGAUGUCAAUGACAACAUUAAAUGCAAACUGUCUCAAAAACUCUUGGGUCAAAUCAUCCCAAUUCCUACGGUGUGAGGCAUCUAAGGAAGCAAACCAACGCUAUGCUACACCACUCAACGACAUGGGGAAAAACAUGAUCAAGUGGGCCUCAUCCAAACCAUGGGCCCUCAUCACACUACUGUAUAGCCUCAAAUGAAUCUUAGGGCAACCUAUGCCCAUAUACCUCUCAAUAUCUGGCAUCCUGAACUAGGUUGGUAAACUGGCCAUUGGUGCUUCAUCAAAAUCAUCCCAACUGAUAGCUCCAUUUGAAACCCUCACCCGUCUCAUUCUCUGCUCGAAUAUAUCCAUAUGAGCAUGUGCAUUCUCUAAGAUCGGAACGGGUGCUACGACAGGAAGUGGGGUAACAUCAGUCUGAUUAUGUAAAACAUGCGGUGCAGGGUGUGGAACCGACUGAUUGAGUUGAGGGGGUGGUGAUGUUGUAGAGUCAUAUUGUGCACUAUCCCGAGACGGGGCCUACUGCCCAUCUAUUCUCUAGGAGAGGCCGGCUAUAACCUCUUGAAUCAAAGCCAUAGUCGCAGCAAACUGGGCAAUAGUGACUACCUGUGAGUCCAUAUCUCUCUAAUCUAGUCUUUGGUCUGGCUGAUCUGAUGCUCUAGUCAACCUGCCUCUAACUCUAGUCCACGAAGGCGAAUCCAGAUUGGGCACAAAAAUACUUCUAUAAACACAGAAACACUAGAUGAGAUGCUAUACAGGAGUAGCUCUGUAGGAACCGACUUAAAGGUAAUCAAGCAUACAACCCAUGUAUGCUGAAACUGAUACUCGUAUCUGAUCAUACCAAAAUGAGAAUAUGGAGAGGGUAACCGAACCAAAUUGUAACCAAGGCAGCUCUGAAGGUCCACAGAUGCACCCACGUGUGGGAAUGAAAUCUUAAUUAGGUCUAAGCUAACCUAAAAGAUUGAGGUGGCUCUAUAAGAUAAAAUGAGUGGGUUAAAGGAUCCCUAACAAAAGUGAUCGUACCCUCGACGAUACGCAACCCUCUGCACACCUCCAAGGAAAGGAGAUGCUUCCAUGCAAGGUGGUCAUCACCUCCACACAUGCAUUUCCUCGCGUUCCUAGGGGGUUUCUUAAUGGUAAAGGCUCUCUCAUAUCUCAAUACUCAAGGAAAAUCUAAAGUGUAGAGUGAAGGAUGUGGGUGCAUAAGAAAAACCUAAGCUCUAAAGUGAGAUAGUGAACAAAGACAAGAAAUCAUAUAAUCAUGCAAGAGAAAGGGUUGUCAUACAACAAGCAGUCAUUCGAAGUAGAUAAGUAUCAUACAAUCAGGGUCCUAUCUAACAUAUGUGAAAGUGAAUCAUGCUGAAGUGAGCAAAGCAAUCAAGUGACCCUUCAAGGCAAUCAAACAUGUUAGAUAGCAAACCAAGCAAGCAAACAAACUAAAUCACCUUGUUUUAAAAAAGGAAGUACCCUCUAAUCGACCAAAUAAAUGCCACAUUUUCCUCAACUAAUGUUCAAGCUUGAUCCUCAAAAUCCCCAGUGGAGUCAGCAAUUUGUGGACCCGCAUUUCUCACUUGCACCCCCACUCUAUUGUGAGACUCGCUUUUAUUGGUGAAAAAUUGAUUUUGGAAAAGUCAGAGUCGCCACUUAUUUUAUUUUAUUUUAAAGGGAAAUUAAAAUAAGAAAUAAAACCCUAGAAAAAAAUGACUUCAUAGUUUUUGGAAAAGUGUGUCUUUGGAAAACCCGAGUCUAGGUUCAAGAAUCAGGUUACCUAUUGGGAAUGUACCUCUAAAAGGUAACACCCCUCUAACUCCUACAAAGGUCUCUACUGACUAAGUUGAGGGAAAUGUGGCAAUUAAUUGAUUAAUUGAGGAUACCUAGGUAGACUAAGGUGAUUUAAAAAAAAAUAGAAUGCCAAACAAGAUCAAAUCAUAAUAAAGAAGAGUUAGGAUGCGUACCCGAACCGCUUCUUAAGCGCUAUCAUAAAACAUCAGAGUUAGUAUAGAAAUAUAACACACGACAUGUAUUUAAUCACAGCAAAUCAAGCACAUAUCUAAGCACUUAAGGAUCAUAUCAAGCAUAAAUAAGGCUCACGACAACAUGCAUGUUCAUGGAAUUCCGAAAAAAAAUGAUAGAGAGCGUACCUUGAUAACAUGCAUAAUUUAUAAGAUUCCUCCAAAAAUGUUAGAAUGGUUAGGAAAAGUAUAAAUUAUAUAACAUCUCUAUUAUGUCUAAUAUACAGUACCAAAUCCAAAAGUGAACCAAGGUAAGUCAAAUGACUCCAAAAGCAUAUAACAAAUUCGAGCAAGUACUGAGUCAUCAACAUGCAUAUAGUAAAGAGAGCAUCACAAAACAAUUGCUAAAAAAAUGUCUUGGAGUGGAAUUUAAUCACAAAAAAUUUCAGGAAGCUACUCCUACAUAUCUAGAACAAGAUACCAAAAUCCAAACACUCAUUUGAAUGAAAAAUUACAGCAAAGACACUAAAAAGUUUCAAAAGGUCCAGAUUAGGUAAAAAAAUAGUGACAUGCAUAAAUGAAUUUUUUAAAAAAAUAAUAAGACAUCACAUAAAUCCGUACAAAAAAUCACGUACAUCGUUCAAGGUGUCUAUAUCAAAAGGAAAACAAAUUCAGGGUUGGGUAGUACUCUAAAAUAUUUUUAAAACGCUCCAACGUAAUUAGAUGUCCAGAUUCCAUCAUGCACAGUAGGUGUCUAAGAUCAAUUUCAAGAAGCCUAGAAUUGAGGAAAAAUAUUGGAUCAAAUUUAAAAAGUUGUCUGGUAUUUUAAUUUUGCAAAAAGAUCUCGGGUGUCUAGAUCUGGGUGAAAACAGACUCCCCUUAAAAACUCAUUUAUAUCUUUUAUUCUAGAAUGGCUUUCUAACUCAAACGAAACUUUAAAUUUCAAGUUCAAGAAGUGAGGAAAGUCAUACAAGAUUUGGAAAAUUUUUUAAAAACAUUCCAAAGUUGCUAAAACAAAUUUUAAAUCUAAAGGGUCAGUGGCUGAGUGAAAAUGGGUAGCAAGGAAGAGUUUUGAAAAUUUUUCUUAUGUAGGAAAUUCACCAAUUCCCCAAUUAUUAUACAAAAGUCUAGCCUAGAAUCAUCCCAUUUAUUUGGGACCACAAACUUUGAUUCGUGUUUUAUUCAAAACCAAAAUUUUCAUUGAAAAUCGAGAAAAAUGCAAACUGAUCAAAAAAUGGUUGCAUGUUAUUUUAAGAAAAUGAGAUUUGGAUUAUAAGGACUCUAAAUGGAUUUUUUUUAUAAAAAAAAUGGAUUUUUAUGAGGAACAUUUUGAGAAAUGUAUUUUAUUUUAUUUUAAAAUAAAAUAAUUUGAAAAACAACAGAACAUAAUAAACAAAAUACCAAGCAAAACAAAAGAAAAAACAAAAUCAUAAAAUGAUUAUUUUUUUUACAACUGAGCAAACUAAAAUAGUAAGAAUGGAGGCCAAUCUUCACUAUUUUCCGAUGGCCUCCAAAAAGUAAAUUUUACCAGAGACUACUAAAGCAAUAAACUGUUCAAACUUAAAUCAAUUAAAUUAAUGACUAAUAUUCAAGGAACAUAUCAAUUAAGAGUAAUAAUCACGAAUUAACACGUGAUCGAUUAAACACACAAACGCAUCUAGAUUGAUUAAAAUAGACCAAAUUAAAUCAGGGCAAACAUGAAUUUUCAAUCAUAGAAUUAAUUUUAUUAGUGAGCUAAUAUUAUAGAAAAUACCUAACUGAAUAGAUGAGUGAAGUUAAAUCAGCGUAAACUAAACACAGACACCUUUUAAAUGUGGAUUUGAUUUUAUUAAUAACUUAGAAUUAUAAAAAAAAUACCUAAAAUAAUUAAAAUGAAUCAAAUGAAAUGAAAGCAAGCUAAAACAAAAUAUGAAUUCAUAGAAUCAAUUUCCUAAAUAAAUUUACAUUAUUAAAUUGAAAUCUAAGCUCAAAAUGAAUUAAACACUAAUUACGACAAAUUUAAGAAUCAAAUAUUUAUCAAAUAAGAUCAAUUAUUUCAACAAACUAAAAUUUUACUUUAACCAAAAAUUAAAUUAUAAAACUACCCAAAACAAAUUUUAAAACUAAAUUUCUAACCUAUAAAAUCAAACUCAUUAACAAAUGGAUAAGUAGAUAACACAUAAAUAAAUAAAUAUGACUAAAACGAAAUAUGAACUCAUGGAAUUAAUUUUUUUUAACUAAACUUACAUUACUAAAAUAAAAUUUAAGCUUAACAAACGUUUUUAACACUAAUUAAGGCAAGUCUAAAAUCUAAUAUUUAACACAUAAAAUCAAUCAUUUCAACAAACUAAAAUUUUACUUAAACCUAAAGCCGAUUCAAACUACCUACAACAUAUUUUUUUAAAAAAAAAAUUAAAUUUUUAACCCAUAGGAUCAGUCUUAUUAAUAAAUAAGAAAUAAAUAAAUAAAUUACAAAUCAUUAAAUUAGUAGCAAAUAAAUAAAUAAACAACUAAUAAUUAAAUGAAUCAAAACUAAAUUAAAUAAAGAUCAAACUAUAUUUUUUUCUCAAAGUAAAACUACAUAAAAUUUUAUUUUCUGAAUUUAAUAUAAUAAAUCAAAAUUGACCUUAAACACAAUUCUAAUCUUUAGUGUAAUAAAUCAAAAAUUAAACAAGAGUGAGAUUCAUGCUGCCAUGUCAAAACAAAUACAUGUUGGAGCUAACAAUAUAAGUCAAACCACUCACCCAAUAUAAUAAUCACACUUGAAAAAUAAACCAAAACUUUAAAUUCUACUGAAAACCUAUAUAUAUAUAUAUAUAACUUACCUAGUCGGCUUACCAAAACAACUUGGUGGCGUGUAGCUGUUUUCUCUUCUCCGAUGAUGCUCUAGAACAAUGGUGUACUGGUUGAUGGAGUUUUGGUUCUUUAGCCAAUACUAUUCUUCCCUAUCAGCAGAUAAACAGUACAGAACUCGUCUCAAGGAACGGUAAGUAUAAAUUUAAGAACUCCAUGCAAUUGGUUUUCAACUAUUCUGAUAGCCAUCGGAAUACGGAUAUUGUGUUCCAGAAGUUGGAUGAACAUGGAAACGUGUGGCAAGAGAAUGGAGAAAAGCAAAUUCUUUCGAAUCUUAGUGUGGCCUAGUUGCAUAGAUCGACCCUUGACGAUGAUGGGAAUUUGAGAGUUUACCAUUUUCAGGAAGGCAUGGAUGGGUGGGCUGUUGUUCGACUGGUUCUCGGUUUUCGGCCAAAUGAAGAUUCAGAAUACUGACGCGACAGGAAAAUUCAAAUGACGCAAACACCAACUCCAGCUUGACUACGUCAACUUCAGCGACGGGGUCGACCAAAACAAUCUGGGUGUUCAGGUUGUUACCAUCGGUGAGUCCAAAUGUCGCAUUCCUUCUUUCGCUUCGAAAUCCUCCUGUUCUUCCCUCUCUUCUGAUGCGUGCUGAAAGUGUAUCAAGAAUGGUGCGGCUGGUUGAUGGUUCCCUUCCAAAAGACGUCAAUUUCUCUAAAAAUAAAAAAUCCAGCCUUCAUCCGUGAAUCCACCCUCCAACCUUUUUUCGAUGAUCUCCUCAAUAAAGUUGGAGAUCUCUUCUUUACUCUCUGUGUAUGGCAGCCUCUCCCUCUCCUCUCCAGAAUGCUGGAUCCUGUUCCACAUGCCCUUUCUUCUUCUUUUUUUUUUUCUUUUUUUUAAUCUCUUCUCAAUCACCCCUCAGCUCCUCUCUCCAGCCACGGUAAUAGAAGGAACAGUAGAAACAAUCGUCAUUUCUCCUUUCAGAUCACCCUCAAUCUUUUUCAGUAAUCCAUCAUACCUCCCCUUAAUAGUGCGUUUUUUUUCUUUUUUUCUUAAUCUUUUCUCCAUCACUUAGUCAGCUUCUCUACAACCACGGUGAUGGAAAAAAUGGCAGAAAAAGGUUUUCUUCUCCUCUUCCAAUCAUCCUCCAUCCCCUCCAAUUUUCUUUGUUUUUCCUUUUCUCUCUUCAUCUCUCUCCAAUCCACCGACUGCCUCCAUCUUUCCUUUCUAAUGGUGUUUUUCUUUUUUCUUUUACGGAACACGUGGGAUCCAUGCAAAACAAAUAAUAAAAAAAAUAAAUAAAUAAAAAUACCAAUAAAAGAAAACUAAGAGUUACAAUAAUAAUAAAAAAACGUGUAACUAAGAAUUAAAAAUCCAAAAUAUGCAAUUUUAAACGAAAUUAAAAAAUAUAGGUCACAUGCAAAACUAAAAUAAAUUAUCAACUCAAGUAACUUUAUAUCAAAAUAAACUAAUAAAUAGAUAAAUAAAAACAAAAUGAAUAUGAUUAUUAAGCUCAUGCAAUUUCCUAAAAAUAAAUAAAUAAAUGAAUAAAAAUAAUUAAUAGAGAAAGAUAAAAACAAAAAAAACAAAAAACAAAAUCAAGCAUAUACAAGCCAUACGAGCUAUGCAACCAUGCAAGCCAUGCAAACCAUGCAUCCAUGCAAAAAAUGACCUAAGUGGGCCUAAGGUGCCUAAAUGGGCCUAUGGUGCAUAAGUGGGCCUAUGGUGCCUAAGUGGGCUUAAGGUGGUGCCUAACGGGCCAAGCGUGCCUAAAUGGGCGUAGGGUGUCUAAGUGGGUCUAGGGUGGUGCUUAAGGGGCCAAGUGUGACUAAAUGGACCUACGGUGCCUAAAUGGGCCUAAUGUACCUAAAUGGGCCUAGGGUGGUGCCUAAUGGGCCAUGUGUAUCUAAGUGGGCCUAAAGUGGUGCCUAAUGGGUCUAAGGUGCCUAAGCGGGCCUUAGGUGCCUAAGUAGGCCUAUAGUGCCUAAUGGGCCUAAGGUUCCUAAGCGGGCCUAAGAUGCCUAAACGGGCCUAAGAUGCCUAAGCGGGCCUAAGGUGCUUAAGCGAGCCUAAGGUGCAUAAGCGGGCCUAUGGUGCAUAAGUGGGCCUAAGGUACCUAAGUGGGCCUAAGUGGACCUAUGGUGCAUAAGUGAGCCUAAUGGUGCCUAAGUGGGCCUAUGGUGCAUAAGUGGGCCUAUGGUGCCUAAGUGGGCCUAUGGUGCCUAAGUGGGCCUAAGAUGCCUAAAUGGGCUUAAGGUGCCUAAGUGGACUUAUGGUGCCUAAGUGAGCCUAAUGGUGCAUAAGUGGGUCUAUGGUUCCCAAAUGGGCUUAAGUCUAAACUAAGGUUGCCAAGAGUCACAAUGGAGUUAAAUAAAUCCCUCAACCAAAGUCCCCAAGGUGACUUAGAAAAGAUAGGCUACAUGAGUAGUAAUGGGCCAUCAGGGAAUUGUUGUAAAAUACGGAACAAAUACCUAAUAGGACAUGUGCUAAGAGGACAAAAUGGAGGGUCUACAGUAACAUGAUCUCACAUCAUUAGGAGAGUUGAGAAUUUCAUCAUGCUAAAAAAAAAAUUCCUCUAAGGGAAUGGUUUAUCAUCCUUGUUGUCGCAUUUUGUACUUAGUGAUUGAGUGGAAUACUUUUAUUAUUGACUUAUCUGUUUCUGAAUUCCUCAUUGAUUAACAUUUGACUAGGAAAUUUGGCUUUAGACUGCAACUAUAGGCACUGAAUGCUAACAUCUUACUAAAGGAUUCAUCUAUAUGCAUCCAAAAAACUCUGUAAUCAGGGAAUGUGCUCUUAGCUUUGUCCUUAUUGGUUAAAGGAAGUAUUUCCUGCCAUACUUCAAUUGUAAGUUGUGAUAGAAAACAAUUUUCAAAAUACUGAUUUUACCUUUUGGUAAUGAUGGAAUUUAUGUUGUACAUGCAGAUGAAAGAAAAAUUUCUUACCUUUGGGGCAACUUAUUAGUAGGUGCAAAGGUAAAUAUCCUAAACAUGAAAUUUCUAUUUAAUGAAAGUGGAAUUUCUUACCUUUGGUGCUCUAUUCUUUUUUAAUUUUGGUACAUGUGAUUCCCAUUUCAUGUCUCAAAGUUUUUGUUAAUCACCUCUUGCACUAUUCUAAGAAGGUUUUGAGGUCAUGUAUUACAUAUAAAGUCUCAUCAAUUAAGAAAAAAAAAAAAAAAAGAUGAUAUGAGUUUUCUCCCAUUUUCAUAUAGUAUGGGUGAGUGGUGUUACCAAAGGUCUGAGGUCCUUAAGGAGUUAGAAACCUUUAUCAAUCAAAUCUUCAAUAAAUGAUAAGAGAAAUAAAAUUAGAUAGUGGAGAGAAGAAAAAACUUCAAAUCUAGAAUGAGCCUUUGUUUUAUGAUUUCCAUGUUUCAAAUUGAGCUUUUAAUUUGGUAUCUCAAUCUUUAGUUCUACCUAGUGCUUAUUUUUUAUGAUCUAAAUAGUUGAGCUUUAAUGUUAUUCUACUGAAGAUAUGAGUCUUCACUUUUACCUUGUCUCAACAGUUCUUGCAUUUCUAAGCAUCAUGUGUCAUUCUUUUGAAGGUUAUUCAAUUUUUAGACUCCUACUUCACUCAAAUUUUCUUAUGGGAUUCAAUAAAUUGUCAUCAUUGUAGGAUAUGGGAUAGGAUUGAGAAAUAGGAGCUGAUGUUAUCUACUCUUUGGAGAGAGUGUGGAUGAAUAAAAUGUGAUUCGAUUAUGUGUAAAAAUAUGUUUUAUAUGUAUUUUUAUCUUUUGAUUGAGCUUUUGGGAUGUUUUCUUUUCAUAAUAAGGUUAAAGUUUCAAUAUUUUCUCUUGUAGUUCACACUUCAAAUGAACAUUUGUAAGUUUGAUAUUGUUGUAAGCACUAGUCUUGUAGAUUCUUUUUUUUUGGAUGCUUGUGACAAUUUUUAUCUCAAGAAUAAGAUGAAUUCAUAUUAUUAUUCAUCACAUGUUCUUUCUUUGAAAUCAAAAUAGGGGUUCAUCUUGUGAAAUACUCUUGGGAGUGAAAAAAACCCUUCUUGGGAGCCCUAGAAACUCUUGCAUUCUUGGCAUGAACUUAAAAUUUCAAUCUAUAAUGAGGUAAGAACAAAGUAUUUGUAUUAUUUAGUGGCUUGUUUUGGACAAUAUAUUGCCUGUGACAAGACAAAAUCUCAAUGCAAUCUUAAUUACACGUUUUUUCUUUCUAGAAUCAUUUGAACUUGGAAUUUCAACUUAUGGUUUUAUUUCCUAUGUCUUGAAUUUCAAGAUAUGAGACUUGUUUCAUUAGAAAAGAAAGGAGCUAAAACAUUUGAAAACCUAUGCCAUCAAUGGUUGUUGUUGUUUCAGUUGUGAAGGAAGUUUUCAUAUAUGGAGAGAGACCAAAAGAGGAUUCUCGAUAAGCUUGACACUUCUACCAUUCUCUUCCCCUGGCUACUAAAGUGAAACACCAAUGGGUUUUACUUGAUUUCUAGUUCCAUGAAUUUAUUGAACAUUUGUAAAAUGAAGCAAGACAAAAAUGCUCUCUUCCAUAGAAUUUGAAGUUAUUUGGAGAACAAAAAUUGAGUUGGGGCAUGCUAAUUAAUACUAUUUUAAUCACCUUCACCCAUAAUAUUAAUAUUUAAAUAUAAUUUAGAUAGAUAACCUUUUGGGGUUUUUCUCCCACGCUUCCUAAAAUAUGCAACACUUGAUCUUCACUCUCUCUAUCUUUUUUUUUUCCAUUGCGACCAUGGACUAUGGAGCACCCUUUUUUGAUUGCUCCAACACCUUACCUUUUUCCAACCAUGGAGAACUUUUAACUUUUCUCAAAUAUGAUUAGACUUUUACUUUUUUUUUUUUCAAGUAAACAAAAUUAAAACCCCCUUUUUCUAUUUUUAAUCUAAUUACUUAUGGUUUUAAAUACAUAUAUUUUAACGAUGUAUGUUGAAACUAACUUUCAACUUUAAUGAAUGGAAACAUAAAAAUGAGAGGAAAAAAGAAUAAAAUAUAAAUUUGAAAUCUUUACUAUCAAACUUUUUCAAACAAAGAAUAUAUAGACAAAAGAAAUACAAGUUUUAAAAUAAUUUUAUUAUAUUCUUUUUAAAAAAAAUUUAUUAAAAAAAACAAAAUAUGUGUUUCUAUUUUCAAUUAUUUUAUUGGUUUUAAGAUUAAUAUGGUAUAAAUUAGUCGCAACAAUUAUUUAUGAAAUAUUUGGUCAUUAUUUGUAUUAUAUAUAAAAGGAUAAGGUGUAUGUUUUUUUAACUUUUGUCUUCUAAGAUAGCAAUUUUGAGGCUUGGGACAUACUAACGAUUAUUCAUGAGGGCACUUGGUUGUGAAGUUGUCUAAGAUUCAAAUGCUCAGAGCUAUAUUUGAGAGUUUAAGGAUAUGAGAUGCUAAAACGUUUGCUGGAUUCAUUUUUAAAUUAAGUAAUAUUUUCAACUUGAGGUUUAACCUUGGGGAAAAGAUUCUCUAUUCUAAGGUAGUUAUGAAAAUCCUUAAUUCUCUUCCUAAAAGGUUCAAACACAAGGUAAUUGUUAUAGAAGAAAACAAGAACAUUGACUCCAUGAGAGUUGAUGAAACUUAUAGAUUUUUACCAACUUAUGAGAUGUCUCUACUAUUUUCAAAAGUCUUAGGGUGCAACCUUCAAAGCUUUCAAUAACAAAGGGAAUGAGUUUGAACAUGUUUUUUUUUUUCUUCUUCUUUUUUUCUUCUAUAUUUAUGCUUUUGAUAUCAUGCAUAUCUAGAUUUGCACAUGCUUAUUAAAAGACAUACAUGACUUUUUACUUACAUUGAAUUGACCAAUUUCUCUUUUCUUGGGGGAAUGUAUGAAGGAGAACACGGUGCCUUUAUCCUUAGGAGAAUAUUGAAUAAUAGUGAACAUGACUUUAAUAGUUGAGUAAUAGAUUACAAUACUUAGAGGAUUUAAGAACAUAGGUAGAAUAACAGUCAAAGAGUAAUUUUAAAAGGGAAAUGAGAAAUCUCCCAUAGCAGCCACAAGGGCUUGGACAAAUUUUGGUGUAAAGGUAAGAUUGUUUUAGGUGUGGGAAAUAAUGGAGAGAGUGUCUUGUGAAGGAUUUCUCCCAAACCAAAACCAGAGGACUUUUGGACAACAAAUUCGUCCUUAGUCUUUGCAAAACCACAAUGUCAUUUAACCCUUCCAUCACAAACCAAAGAAACUGACCAUUUAAUUUUCAAUAGAAAUCAGGAGUUCAUGGAAUUUAGUCAUGAUCCUAAUAGGAGUUAAUGUAAUUAAGGAGGUAUUAUUCAAGGACAUGUGUAUGUUAUAGAUAAAGUGAAGGAAGAUAAUGCUCUUGCCUUUUUGGAAGAUGCUAUCCUAGUUUAUAAUUCUUGAGCAAAAGUUCCAUUUGAUUCUAGAACAACAACUCUUUCUUUUUUGCCUUCUUCAUGAAUGCACUAGAAUUAGUACUUAAGGGACAUAGAUCCUCUUUAUCUAUUAGUCCUCCUAUGGGACAAACCUUAGAGAGAAAAAGAAUAUGUACAGUAUUUAAUAUGACAAUUCUAAAUCAUGAAUUAAAAGGAGAUUUAGUUGUUUUAGAGAUGUUAGAAUAUGAUGUAAUUUUAGGCAUAAAUUUUUAUCCUCCCCACCAUGCUAUUAUUGACUAUUUUAAAAGAAAGGUAAAGAUUCAUAUCUUAGGAAGGGAUGUAGUUUAUUUCUUUGAUGAUAAGGGUGUACCAUUUCCUUGUCCUCCAUUAAAUUAGUAUUAUCAAUUAAGAUUAAAGAAAGAUGGUAAAUACUUUUUGACAAGUGUUUAAGUAGAGAUUAAAGGAAAAAAAAGAUUUGCAGUCCUUUCAUGUUAUUAAUUAAUUUAUUGAUGUUUUUUUUGUUUGAAGAAUUACUUGGAUUGUCUCCUAAGAGAGAAUGUAACUUUACCGUUGAAGUUUGUCCAAGUAUAUUUCCUACAUCAAUUACACCCUAGUUAAGUUACGAGCAUUGAAGAUUCAACUUCAAAAACUUCAAGAUAAGGAAUUCAUUAGACGAAGUAAUUCUCCAUGGGGUGUUCCUAUACUAUUUUUUAAGAAGAAAGAUGGUUCUUUAAGUUGUGAAUUGAUUAUAAGAAAUUGAAUGAAGUCACCAUUAAGAAUAAAUACCUUUUGCCAAAGAUUGAUGAUUUGUUUAAUUAAUUAAAGGAUACUAGAUAUUUCUCCAAAACAAGGAAGAGAACAAUCACACUCCUCCCUGACCAUCACCAUCUUCUCCUUUGCCCUCCUUGAUCUCUUCUACCUUAUCCACUUCAUCCUCCAAUACAACCUUUUGAUGACUCAAUUGAUUCCCUUACUUGAAAUCAAAGCGAGCUUGCUCUGUAAAGGAUGCAGUCAGUGUUACAGAGAUAGUAAAAGUCUUACUACAUAUUGCAACAACAUCAACAAUUGAAGAUUUUAUAGUCAAAGCUUAGUUAUCUGUCUCUUGAGACUUUCUAAAGUUGUCACAUAAUCAAUAAUCCCUAAAUUGUGGUUAAGAAGACCAUCCUUUAAUCAACUUUCAAUAUGUGAAAUAGAAAUCCUCUGCCAUAUGUUUAGCUAAUAAGGUGGUCCACCACUACGCCCAUCAUUAGCCACAAAGCUAUUAUGAGACCCACCACAUUGUAAUGCAAUAAAUGUGACUAGACUACUACCAUCACACAUCACAAAAUGGGUCAUUCCCACACAAAAGAGGACCACUGUUUGGAUAAUACAACCACCUACUUGAAAGACUGACCUUCGCACAAAGAGCACCCUUGUGCAUUAAUUAUAAAAUGGACAUGACCCCCUCAUUAGUCAAAUAAUGGUUAAAACUUAAAAGUUGUUGAAAAAACUAUUCAUUGUCCUAACAAUUAUAUAUGUCAUAAUCAUCUCAUAAUGAUUAAAGCCUUAAAGAUGAACAUAAUAGAAAUCAUUUAAAAUAAUACCUAACGAACAUCUCAUUUAUAGUCUUCCCAUAAUCAAUCUAUCAAAAGGUAACUACAAGAAGAAGACCAUAUUUUAGAAAAAGUACACAAAGUGAACUCUAUCUCAUAUCUCUUAUUCCUACUUUAAUCCAUGACAAACUUGAUCAUCUCAAAAGGGUCGACCUAAGCAACCCAACCUUUUCUCAUCAUUCUCGCUCUCUCACUCUUUCUCCCUAAUCUAUUGGAAAACUGUGAUGCCUAGUUCAACCAUAGUCGAAGGAAUGUGUAACAAAUUCCAAAUCUAAUGAGACUUAAUGCAUAGGAUUUGACAAUUUUUAAAAAUAAUUUAUAAUUUAAAACCAAUCUAAUUAAUACUAAAAAGUCAUGAAACUAAAAAAAUUGAUCCAAUUAAUACUAGAAAGUCGACCAAAAUUGAUUUUGAAUGACUUUGUUUGUUUUCUCCUUUACAUCUAACUAUAAACCAAAAUUUAUAAGGUUUUUCAUUAAGCAAAUAGAAUCAAAAUCCAAUAAGACUUGAUGUGUUAGAUCUAUUAACAAGUGUUAAAGAAAAUUAGAACUCAAACACCAAAAAUUACUAUCAAAGAUUCUUGAACCAGAUUUGGUACUUAAAUGACUGUUAUUUCUCUUUUACACAUAAUGAAAUUUAUGUGAAUUUUCUAUGUAGAAAAAUGUACUUCAAAUUAAGCAAAACUUAAUACAUCAGAUUUAUUAAAAUGUUUAGUAGUUUUUUAAUAAAGAAAUAAAAAUUAAAUACCAAACUAAUUAAUAUUGGAAUUUGUGGACAAACUCUUUGACAUAGAACUAUAAUUCUCAAAAUUUUCUAAUUGGACAAGUGAAUUCUCUUCCAAAUUAAACAAGACAUAAUAUAUUAAUAUUGUUAACAAGUUUAUUAAUUUUUAAAAAUAACUUAAAAAUAAAAUAAUAACGUAAUUAUUAUUAGAAAUUCAUAGCAUAAAACUAGUCCAAAAAAACUUUGUUGUUUCUCCUCCACAUAUAAUUAUAAUUUUAUGAAUUUUCUGGUUAGGCAAAGAAACUCUAAAUUAAGCAAAACUCAACAUAUUAGAUUUGUAGAUGAGCCUAGUAAUUUUUUAAAAUAAUUUAAAAUUCAAAAAUAGAAUCAAUAAAAAAAAAAGGAUAAAAAUUAGUCUAGAAUGAACAAUAAUUAUAUUGUUUCUCAUAUGCGCAUAACUAUACCUUCUCAAAUUUUUUUAUUAGGUAAACAUAUGUUAAAUUAAUUGAGCCCAAAUCAAAUGAGAAUUAAUGUUUUAAAUUCUCUAAUUAAUUUACUAAUUUUUAAGAAUAAUUGAGAAUUUGAAAAACUAACUCAAUUAUUAGCAUAGCACUUUGACAAUGGCUAAAUAUUAAAUGCGCACAGGUAAUGCAAAAACUUAACAUAUUUACCACUUUUAUAUAUAUAUAUAAGUGAACUUUAUUGUUUUUAAAUUCACUUUAAGUAAAAUAUUAUUAACCAUUAUUAUUUGUAAAGUAUUAUUAUUCAAUUUUAACAAAAAAAAAAAAAAAGAAUUAUACCUUUAAGAAGAUAUUAAUAUCCAUAUUUUAUUAUAUCUAUUUAAAAUUAUAUCAUUUCUAAUUAAAAAAUUUACUUAUAAUUUUAUUAUAAUAUUAGUAUUGGUAUUUUACAAAAAUUAUUUAUUUUUCAUUAUAUAAUAAUUAUUUUCUAUUUUUAUUAAGACUUGAAUUGAAUUGAAUUGAUAUUAAUAUAAAAUGAGUGUACAAUUUUUAUUUUUAUUUUUGUACAAAAUGAAAAUAGAAAAACUAUUUUUAAAAGCAACUAAAAUUUACUUAUCCAAAAGUGUUUUUGUUUUUUUGCUUUUUGACAAAUAUGUUUAAAAACAACUUGCCAAGUAUUAUUAUUUUUAAGACAUACGUAAAAAACUUAUUUUUUCUUUUUAACUCUAAAAUAAUUUUAGAAACAAGGUUAAACAUACAUGGGCAAACAGAAAUGUAUGUCUUAAAAGAGGCUUAGAAGAGGCUUAACUCCUUCAGAAGUUUACAUAUGCCAACAAAAGAAAAACUUAUCCAAUCCCUCGAUAGUUUUUUCCGAAGCUUUCUCCAUUCAUAAGCAUGGAAUGAUGUGCUUUUCUCCCUUCUUGAGAGCUUCCCUAGCUUCUUAGCAAUCCAUCUGCUACCUUUCCACUACAUCCUUUUCCUUUGUGUUGGCCUUCCUACAAUAUUGUACUCCUUAGGCAAAAUUGUUUUAGUUUCUUAAUUACUUGCUUUAACUUCUCCAAUCCCUACGAAAAAAAAAAAAGUAAUUUUUGUUUGUUUAAUGAUUUUUUUUUGUCUAGUACUAAAUCAAUCCAUCAAAUAAAUGGGUUAAGAUUGUAUUAUUUGGUUAUAAAAGAAGGUGAAUGCAUUAUUUAAAAAAAAAAAACAAUUUUAUGAAUUUUUUAGCUAAGUAAUAAAUUUCAAAUCAAACAAUACUUAAUGUAUUUGAUUUAUUAAUGAGUUUAGUCACUUUUAAAAAUAAUUUGAAAACAAAAUACUGAAGUAAUUAGUAUCAUAGAUUUAAGAUCAAACAUGUUCUACAUAGAACUAUAAUUUUCAAAAUUUUCUAACUAGACAAGUAGAUUCCGAAUCAAGCAGGACACAAUGUGUUAGAUUUGUUAAAAAGUAUAUUAAUUUUCAAAAAAUAAUUUUAAACCCAAAAAACUGUAAGGGAAUUAUAGAACUAUCUUUAUUUUACUCUAAGUAUUGAUAUUCAAGUCUGUGCCAACACAGGAGUUCGGAUUUAAUCUACAGAUCUGUACUUAUUUGAAUAAGAGAUUUGUAGUUUAAUUAACUUCUCCAAUCGCUUAUAGUUUUUUCAGAUGCUUUCUCCAUUCCUAAGCAUGGAAUGUGGUGCUUUUUUCCCUUUCUAAGAGCUUCCCCCACUUUUAAGCAGGAGUCCAUCUGCUACCCUUCCACUUUAUCCUUUUCCUUUGCGUGUACGCCUGCCAAAAUUGUAUUCCCUUAUUCCCUAAUUAGCGAAACUAUUUCAGUUUCUCAAUUAGUUGCUCCAAGUCUCACCCUCCUGACCAAUUUCCUCUUCUUCUCUUGCUUACGUACCUCUCUCCCUAACUCACUCAAAACUAAGAAACAAUGGAGGUUGUUGGAGAGGUUGUUCUUUCUGCUGGUCUUGAAUUGUUGUUGAAAAAGCUAGUCUCCUCUGAGUUGCUCCAAUUUGCUCGCCAACAGAAAGUCUAUUCUGAACUCAAGAAAUGGGAGGACAAUUUGCUGACUGUGAAUGAAGUGCUCGAUGAUGCUGAGAUGAAGCAGAUGACGUCGCCUGCAGUGAAAAACUGGCUAUGCCAGCUCAGAGACUUGGCUUAUGAUGCAGAGGACGUACUGGAUGAGUUCGCCACCGAGCUACUGCGACACAAGUUGAUGGCAGAACGCCCUCAGACCCCCAACACUAGUAAGGUACGAAGCCUUAUCCCCACUUGCUGUACGAGUUUCAAUCCAUGCCAUGUCGUGUUUAAUGUUAAGAUGGGGUCUAAGAUUAAGGAAAUAACUAACCGCUUAGAAGAGCUUUCAACUAAAAAUUUUGGGCUUGGGCUGCGAAAAGCCACAGUUGAGCUGGGUUUGGAGAGAGUUGAUGGAGCAACUUCUACCUGGCAACGACCCCCCACUACAUCUUUGAUUGAUGAACCUGUUCACGGCAGGGAUGAUGACAAAAAGGUUAUUAUUGAGAUGCUGUUGAAGGAUGAAGGCGGUGAAAGCUACUUUGGGGUAAUUCCCAUUGUUGGCAUAGGUGGGAUGGGGAAAACUACACUCGCCCAGUUGGUAUACAGGGAUGAUGAGAUAGUCAACCAUUUUGACCCAAAGGGGUGGGUCUGUGUAUCAGAUGAGAGUGAUAUAGUGAAAAUAACAAAUGCAAUUCUUAAUGCAUUCUCUCCUCAUCAAAUCCAUGAUUUUAAAGACUUUAACCAACUCCAGCUCACAUUGAGCAAGAUUCUGGUUGGAAAAAGGUUUUUGCUAGUUUUGGACGAUGUGUGGAACAUUAACAAUUAUGAGCAAUGGAGUCACUUACAGACCCCCUUUAAGUCGGGGGCUAGAGGAAGUAAAAUUGUAGUAACGACACGUCAUACAAAUGUUGCAUCAUUGAUGAGAGCAGACAACUACCACCACUUGCUCAAGCCUUUAUCUAAUGAUGAUUGUUGGAAUGUAUUUGUGAAACAUGCAUUUGAAAACAAAAAUAUCGAUGAACAUCCAAAUUUGAGAUUGCUUGAUACAAGGAUCAUAGAGAAAUGCAGUGGCUUGCCCUUAGCAGCAAAGGUGCUCGGUGGGCUUCUACGCUCCAAACCACAGAAUCAAUGGGAACAUGUACUAAGUAGCAAAAUGUGGAAUAGGAGUGGUGUUAUCCCAGUGCUAAGAUUAAGCUAUCAACAUCUCCCUUCACAUCUAAAAAGAUGUUUUGCUUAUUGUGCAUUGUUUCCAAGGGACUAUAAAUUUGAGCAAAAAGAGCUAAUUUUAUUAUGGAUGGCGGAGGGUUUAAUUCAUGAAGCAGAAGAAGAAAAAUGCCAAAUGGAAGAUUUAGGUGCUGAUUAUUUUGAUGAAUUAUUAUCUAGAUGUUUUUUCCAACCAUCAAGCAAUAGUAAAUCCCAAUUUAUAAUGCAUGAUUUGAUCAAUGAUCUAGCUCAAGAUGUUGCUACAGAAAUAUGCUUCAAUUUAGAGAAUAUACAUAAAACUUCUGAAAUGACUCGUCAUUUGUCAUUCAUACGUAGCGAGUAUGAUGUAUUCAAAAAAUUUGAAGUCCUUAAUAAACCGGAGCAAUUACGAACAUUUGUUGCAUUACCCGUCACUGUAAAUAAUAAGAUGAAAUGUUACUUGAGUACUAAGGUGCUUCAUGGCUUGUUGCCAAAGUUGAUACAAUUAAGGGUGCUCUCUUUGAGUGGUUAUGAAAUAAAUGAGUUGCCAAAUUCGAUUGGUGAUUUGAAACAUUUACGGUAUCUUAAUUUGUCUCAUACUAAACUCAAAUGGUUACCUGAAGCAGUGAGUAGUCUCUACAAUUUACAAUCAUUGAUAUUAUGCAAUUGUAUGGAACUCAUUAAGUUGCCUAUUUGCAUUAUGAAUUUAACCAAUUUUCGACAUCUUGAUAUUAGUGGUUCAACUAUGUUGGAAGAGAUGCCUCCACAAGUUGGAAGCUUGGUAAAUUUGCAAACAUUGUCUAUGUUUUUUCUAAGCAAAGAUAAUGGGUCACGAAUUAAAGAAUUGAAGAACUUGUUGAAUCUCCGAGGAGAGCUUGCCAUUAUAGGGUUGGAAAAUGUUUCGGAUCCAAGAGAUGCAAUGUAUGUCAAUUUGAAGGAGAUACCAAAUAUUGAAGACUUAAUUAUGGUAUGGAGUGAAGAUUCUGGUAAUUCAAGGAAUGAAAGUACUGUGAUAGAGGUCCUUAAGUGGUUGCAACCUCAUCAAAGUUUGAAAAAACUGGAAAUUGCAUUUUAUGGUGGCUCAAAAUUCCCGCAUUGGAUAGGAGAUCCAUCCUUCUCCAAAAUGGUUUGUUUGGAACUUACAGAUUGUAAAAAUUGCACAUCAUUGCCAGCACUUGGGGGUUUACCUUUCCUCAAAGACUUGGUGAUUGAAGGAAUGAAUCAAGUUAAAAGCAUAGGUGAUGGGUUCUAUGGGGAUACUGCGAACCCUUUUCAGUCUUUGGAAUAUCUGAGAUUUGAGAAUAUGGCAGAAUGGAACAAUUGGUUAAUUCCCAAAUUGGGACAUGAGGAAACUAAAACAUUGUUUCCUUGCCUUCGUGAGCUUAUGAUAAUAAAAUGUCCAAAACUGAUCAACUUACCUCAUGAGUUACCGUCCCUUGUGGUUUUUUUUGUUAAAGAAUGCCAAGAAUUGGAAAUGUCAAUUCCACGACUUCCACUUCUUACUAAAUUAAUUGUAGUUGGCUCGUUAAAAAGUUGGGAUGGUGAUGUCCCCUCACUUACCCAAUUAUACAUUUGGGGAAUUUCGAGGCUGAGUUGAUUAUGGGAAAGGCUUGCACAACGCUUAAUGGUCCUUGAAGAUCUGGGAAUAAAUGAAUGUGAUGAGUUGGCAUGUUUGAGGAAGCCUGGAUUUGGACUGGAAAACCUUGGUGGUCUGCGACGUUUAUGGAUCAAUGGGUGUGAUGGGGUUGUAUCGUUGGAAGAGCAAGGGCUGCCUUGCAAUCUUCAAUACUUGGAAGUGAAGGGAUGCUCCAACUUAGAGAAGCUGCCAAAUGCAUUGUACACCCUCGCAUCUCUUGCAUAUACGAUAAUUCAUAAUUGCCCGAAACUCGUGUCAUUCCCAGAGACAGGUUUGCCGCCCAUGCUAAGAGAUCUUAGUGUGAGAAAUUGUGAGGGUCUAGAGACACUACCUGAUGGAAUGAUGAUUAACAGUUGUGCCCUUGAGCGGGUGGAAAUUAGAGAUUGUCCAUCUCUUAUUGGCUUUCCGAAAAGGGAGCUACCUGUCACGCUUAAGAUGCUGAUAAUUGAAAAUUGUGAGAAACUAGAGUCUCUACCUGAGGGAAUUGACAACAACAACACUUGUCGUCUUGAAAAGCUACAUGUAUGCGGAUGUCCAUCUCUCAAGUCCAUUCCAAGAGGCUAUUUUCCCUCCACACUUGAGACGCUUAGCAUUUGGGGCUGCCUACAAUUGCAGUCGAUUCCAGGGAAUAUGCUACAAAACCUCACAUCUCUUCAAUUUUUGCACAUAUGUAAUUGUCCAGAUGUGGUGUCCUCUCCAGAAGCGUUCUUGAACCCCAACCUUAAAGCACUUUCUAUUACAGAUUGUGAGAAUAUGAGGUGGCCUCUAUCUGGGUGGGGCCUACGCACACUCACCUCACUUGAUGAGCUCGGGAUUCAUGGCCCAUUCCCAGAUCUGCUUUCUUUUUCCGGCUCUCACCUACUUCUUCCUACAUCUCUCACCUAUCUCGGGUUGGUAAAUCUCCACAACUUGAAAUCCGUAACCUCCAUGGGUCUCCGAAGCCUUAUGUCUCUU